UACAGAGGUGGCAAGCGUUGUUCGGAAUUACUGGGCGUAAAGGGCGCGUAGGCGGUUCGAUAAGUCCUGUGUGAAAUCCCUCGGCUCAACUGAGGAACUGCACUGGAGACUGUCGGGCUUGAGUUCGGGAGAGGGAAGCGGAAUUCCGGGUGUAGCGGUGAAAUGCGUAGAUAUCCGGAGGAACACCGGUGGCGAAGGCGGCUUCCUGGACCGACACUGACGCUGAGGAGCGAAAGCCAGGGGAGCAAACGGG
rnacentral:rRNA from 1 species